rnacentral:rRNA from 1 species
CAGCCGCCACGGGAAUACGAAGGGGGCUAGCGUUGUUCGGAAUCACUGGGCGUAAAGGGUGCGUAGGCGGGAUCUUAAGUCAGGGGUGAAAUCCCGAGGCUCAACCUCGGAACUGCCUUUGAUGCUGGCGAUCUUGAGUCCGAGAGAGGUGAGUGGAACUGCGAGUGUAGAGGUGAAAUUCGUAGAUAUUCACAAGAACACCGGUGGCGAAGGCGGCUCACUGGCCCGGUACUGACACUGAGAGACGAAAGCUAGGGGAGCAAAUGGGAUUAGAUACCCCUGUAGUCCCUGUCUCUUAUAC